CCUACGGGAGGCAGCAGUGAGGAAUAUUGGUCAAUGGCCGGAAGGCUGAACCAGCCAUGCCGCGUGAAGGUCAGUGCCCUAUGGGCGUUAAACUUCUUUUGUGCGGGAGCAAUAAUGGUCACGUGUGGCCAGACGAGAGUACCGUACGAAUAAGCAUCGGCUAACACCGUGCCAGCGGCCCCGGUAAUACGGGGGAUGCCAGCGUUUACCGGGUUUAAUGGGGUUAAAGGGUGCGGGGGCGGGGAGGUAAGGCCGCGGGGAAAUGCUCCCGCUCAACGGGGUGCAGUGCCGUUGAUACUGGCUUGCUGGAAUGCGGAUGCCGUAGGAGGAAUGUGUGGUGUAGCGGUGAAAUGCAUAGAUAUCACACAGAACACCGAUUGCGAAGGCAUCUCACGAAUCCUCGAUUGACGCUGAUGCACGAAAGCGUGGGUAUCAAACAGGAUUAGAUACCCCUGUAGUC
rnacentral:rRNA from 1 species